CGUUAAGGCGGUUGGCAAAGUUGGUUGUGAAAUCUCUGGGCUCAACCCAGAAAUUGCGACCAAUACUGGUCGACUAGAGUGCAAGAGAGGAAGGUGGAAUUCCCGGUGUAGUAGUGAAAUGCGUAGAUAUCGGGAGGAACACCAGUGGCGAAGGCGGCCUUCUGGCUUGCAACUGACGCUGUAGCGCGAAAGCGUGGGGAGCGAACCGGAUUAGAUACCCGGGUAGUCCACGCCCUAAACUUUGUGUACUAGGUGUUGGGCGUAUUGACGCGCUCAGUGCCGCAGCUAACGCAUUAAGUACACCGCCUGGGGAGUACGGUCGCAAGAUUAAA
rnacentral:rRNA from 1 species